rnacentral:rRNA from 1 species
CUGUUAGAGGAAGUAAAAGUCGUAACAAGGUCUCCGUUGGUGAACCAGCGGAGGGAUCAUUAACGAGUUCCAUUCUCCUUAAUACACCCGUGAACGUUUCUUCAACUGUUCGUUGCUUCGGCGGGCGGCCCCGGGGAGGGGCCGCAGCCCGCAAGGGCGCCCGCCGGCGGCAGCGCAGCACACAACUCUUGCGAUUUAGGCCCCUCUGAGAAGACACUAAAUGAGUCAAAACUUUCAACAACGGAUCUCUUGGUUCUGGCAUCGAUGAAGAACGCAGCGAAAUGCGAUAAGUAAUGUGAAUUGCAGAACUCAGCGAAUCAUCGAAUCUUUGAACGCACAUUGCGCCCGCCGGCAUUCCGGCGGGCAUGCCUGUUCGAGCGUCAUUUCAACCCUCGAGCCCUGCUCGGUGUUGGGGCCCCGCGGCCGCCGCGGGCCCUGAAAAGAAGUGGCGGGCGCGCCUGGACCCGUAGCGCAGUAAUACACCUCGCUCGCGGCGUCCCGGCGCGUGCCGGCCGUAAACCCCUUUAUCUCAGGUUGACCUCGGAUCAGGUAGGAAUACCCGCUGAACUUAAGCAUAUCAUAGG